GAGGGUAUAGCUCAGUGGUAGAGGGCAUGCUUAGCAUGCACAAGGUCCUGGGUUCAAUCCUCAGUACCUCCA
rnacentral:tRNA from 1 species